AAACUCAAAGGAAUUGACGGGGCCCCGCACAAGCGGCGGAGCAUGCGGAUUAAUUCGAUGCAACGCGUAGAACCUUACCUGGGUUUGACAUGGAUCGGGAGUGCCCAGAGAUGGGUGUGCCUCUUUUGGGGUCGGUUCACAGGUGGUGCAUGGCUGUCGUCAGCUCGUGUCGUGAGAUGUUGGGUUAAGUCCCGCAACGAGCGCAACCCUUGUUCACUGUUGCCAGCACGUUAUGGUGGGGACUCAGUGGAGACCGCCGGGGUCAACUCGGAGGAAG
rnacentral:rRNA from 1 species